UUUGUCAGCCUCUUACAUCCAGAAAAAAUUGUGGAUGUAAGAGGCUGAAUCACUCCCACGGAGUGAUCCUGUAGGCUGAAAACACGGUUGCUGCAAAACCAGCAAUCGUGUUUUCAGCUGCCACAGGCAGCUUCAGGGAAGGGGGUUGUGUGUUGAUUGGGUCCCCACACAAGUGUGGGGACCUGACCCAACACCCCCCAGCUGCCUGAUCGCUCCAUGAGAGCGACAGUGCAGCGUUAACCCCUUCAAUGCCGCAUUUAGGGGUUAAUUCCCGUUUUGUAUGGGGCUUUGCUGCUGGUGGUCUGCCUGGAAGCCCAAGCAGACCAGCAACAGCAAAAACGAGCCCCCACAAGCCCUUUGAUGAUUCCUGUAGGCAUGGAAGCCUACAGCAGUCAUCAGAGACUCCCCCCUGCAAUGGCUGGUCUAUAGACCAGCAAUUGAGUCCCAGCUGCCAGAGGCAGCUUCAGGGACAGGGGAGAGGGUUCUUUGGUCUCCCCAUGAGUGUGGAGACCAGCCCCAACACCCCCUGCUGCCUGAUCGCUCCAUGAGAGCGACAGUGCAGCGUUAACCCCUUAAGUGCCACAAUUGUGUAUGACACAUUUGUGGCAUUGCAGGGGUUAACAUUUGUCCCCACAAGCUUGUGGGGACUAAAUAUCAGUCAAUGCUGUGCUCCAAUGGAACAUCAGCAUCGAAA